CUGGCUCAGGACGAACGCUGGCGGCGUGCUUAACACAUGCAAGUCGAGCGAGAAACCUUCGGGUUUCUAGCGGCGGACGGGUGAGUAACACGUGGGUAACCUGCCUCAAAGUGGGGGAUAGCCUUCCGAAAGGAAGAUUAAUACCGCAUAACAUUGUAGCUUCGCAUGAAGCAAUAAUUAAAGGAGUAAUCCGCUUUGAG
rnacentral:rRNA from 1 species